AUGAGGUUGCAGCCGGCAUCGUCUAUGAACAACUUUGUUAGGCAGUACCAGAAAAUAUUGUUCGACCUCCAAUCAGAGGAAGAUUUUCAAGAGAAGAAGACUCGUGUGGGUGGAUUUGUUUUUAACCUUGGAGUGCCACUAGAAUACCAUGCGAGCAAGGUCUAUACCGCAGCUAUGUAUGAGCUGUUUCAACACGCAAUUUACUUGUCAGGGUCAUAUGUGUUACAAGAGGCAUGUCGGACAGAGCUAGGUGUGGUGUACGUCGUUAACCACAUCUAUGCAGAGAGGAGGCAAGCUUGGUCCAGGACACAAUAUCAUGUUCUGUUUGAUCAGGAAUCUGGAGGAUAUUUAUGUGAGUGUGGUCUUUACUCACACAUGGGCAUGUUGUGUUGCCAUGCUAUCUGGGUCAUGCUAAAUCUGGGAGUUAGGGAGAUCCCUCAUGUACACAUCAUGAAGAGAUGGACAAAAAACGCUUGUGAGAACCUGCCAGAGCAUCUGAAGAUAUAUCAAGCAGGCAAUUCUGCACUGAAGGACGCAACUUACCGACACUCCAGCUUGUACAGUAAGGCGCUCGAGAUUGUACAGAUGGGGGAUAAGAACACCGAAGCUUAUGGAGCUGCAAUGAAGCAGUUACUAGAUGCAAUAAGUGUUCUAAACGAUACCAACCAGGAGAGUGAUGGGCUAGGAUUACAUGAUCAGGCAGCGGCUCCAGUCCAUGACCAAGAUACGCCUAUUACACCAGGAGCAAACAAACUGUCAGGAUCGAUGAAUGUUGUAUCAUGCAAGAGGGAUCGAGGCAGGCCAACAAAUGCAAGAGCAAAGCCAGGUUAUGAAAAUGUCAGUAAACCAAGAACAAAGUUUUGCUCUAUUUGUAGAGGGAGGGGUCAUAAAGCAUCUAAAUGCCCCUCAUAUGGAGGCGCAACAAAGAAGCAAAGGAAAGUCCCGAAAUGUACCAAGUGCGGCCUGGAAGGCCAUAAGAGGAACAACUGCUCUGGAAGUUUGUUCGGCGUCUUCCAAUGA
rnacentral:rRNA from 1 species